GGGGUUCAGUUGAAGGAAUUGGUUGUGGGUUUACCUCAGGAAGUACCUCCUCGUCGCUUUCAGGAUUUAUCUCGCGAAGAGUCCUGGCCUUUUUGGCAGCCUUCUUCCUUCGGCGAGGUCGGAGGACCUCUUCGGGGAUGAUGGGAUUGUCAGCUUCAGGGUCAUCAUCCCGAAGAGGGGUUGUUGUUGGUUCGGGGGCAGGGGGUUCAGUUCGGGAAGGCUCCUCGUUAGGGAGUUCUUCAUUUGCAUCAGUAAUCCUCCCCGCCAAGAAAUCUUCCAAGUCUUUUACUUCCGAGGAAGUUGGUUUGAUCAAAGACACUGCAAAUAAUCACAAGUUA
rnacentral:lncRNA from 1 species